AUUGAACGCUGGCGGCAUGCCUUACACAUGCAAGUCGAGCGGGGUGAUGGUGCUUGCACUAUCACUUAGCGGCGGACGGGUGAGUAAUGCUUAGGAAUCUGCCUAUUAGUGGGGGACAACAUCUCGAAAGGGAUGCUAAUACCGCAUACGUCCUACGGGAGAAAGCAGGGGAUCACUUGUGACCUUGCGCUAAUAGAUGAGCCUAAGUCGGAUUAGCUAGUUGGUGGGGUAAAGGCCUACCAAGGCGACGAUCUGUAGCGGGGCUGAGAGGAUGAUCCGCCACACUGGGACUGAGACACGGCCCAGACGCCUACGGGAGGCAGCAGUGGGGAAUAUUGGACAAUGGGGGGAACCCUGAUCCAGCCAUGCCGCGUGUGUGAAGAAGGCCUUAUGGUUGUAAAGCACUUUAAGCGAGGAGGAGGCUCUUUUGGUUAAUACCCAAGAUGAGUGGACGUUACUCGCAGAAUAAGCACCGGCUAACUCUGUGCCAGCCGCCGCCGUAA
rnacentral:rRNA from 1 species